rnacentral:rRNA from 1 species
GUCAGAGUUUGAUCCUGGCUCAGAUUGAACGCUGGCGGAAUGCUUUACACAUGCAAGUCGAACGGUAGAGGGGGCAACCCCUUGAGAGUGGCGAACGGGUGAGUAAUAUAUCGGAACGUGCCCAGUCGUGGGGGAUAACGUAGCGAAAGUUACGCUAAUACCGGCAUACGAUCUAAGGAUGAAGCGGGGAUCGCAAGACCUCGCGUCGAUUGGAGCGGCCGAUAUCAGAUUAGGUAGUUGGUGGGGUUAAAGGCUCACCAAGCCAACGAUCUGUAGCUGGUCUGAGAGGACGACCAGCCACACUGGAACUGAGACACGGUCCAGACUCCGUACGGGAGGCAGC